rnacentral:rRNA from 1 species
CAGUCGCCGCGGGAAUACGUAGGUCCCGAGCGUUGUCCGGAUUUAUUGGGCGUAAAGCGAGCGCAGGCGGUUAGGUAAGUCUGAAGUUAAAGGCUGUGGCUUAACCAUAGUACGCUUUGGAAACUGUUUAACUUGAGUGCAAGAGGGGAGAGUGGAGUUCCAUGUGUAGCGGUGAAAUGCGUAGAUAUAUGGAGGAACACCGGUGGCGAAAGCGGCUCUCUGGCUUGUAACUGACGCUGAGGCUCGAAAGCGUGGGGAGCAAACAGGAUUAGAUACCCGUGUAGUCCCUGUCUCUUAUACA